rnacentral:tRNA from 1 species
AAAUAAGAAGCGAUUAAUUGCAUUCAGUUUCGACCUGACCCUAGGUGAUAACACCCUUAUUUU